CAAUUUAGGCACAACAAUAAAAGGCACCAUAGAAUCCACCUUUUCAUAUAUAGCAUUAGGAAUUUAACAUUCUGACUGAAUCUAUCUAUAGCAGAUCAGGAUGACAUUAACUUUUCCAACUAUCUAUCUUUUUCUAGACUUGUGCAAGAAUGACAUGAAAACAAUACUAAACCAUAAAGGGGACAACCUUAUAUAAUUUGAAAACUCUUGCUUUCACUGCUGGGUAUAUAUGAUAGCUCUAGGUGCUAAUUUUGCAAAGAGUUUUUUAUUAAUACAAAAUUUACAAUUAAGUGAACAGAGUAAUAAAGCAUCAUCUUAAAUAUGUACAUGCUCCUGCACAGCAUAUGCAUAUGAUGCUGGCACUGGCUGCAUGUCAUGGAUUGGAAGCUUAAUUGAUCUUCAGAUAUCCUCAACUGGAGGAACUGCAUCUUAAAUUUGUUACAAGUGCUUGGUAGAUCAGUAGAUCAGUAAUCCAAAACUGCAAGUGUUUCUUUUCAACAUAGAUUUUCUGACUUUGUAUAGACUCCUAACUUGAGUAAAAGCUUUCCAACUAUAGAAUACUAAAUAUUGCUCUUUUUCCCUUUGGGUAUUGGAAAUACUAUAUGCCUUUCCGUUAAUAUUACUAAGAUGAAAAUUGUUGAAUGUUGAUCAUUGAAUACAAAGAGAGUGAAAAACAAACUAAGGAGAGAAGACAAUGACCUAGUAAAACUCCCAGAGCUUUCCCAAUUUGAGUUUGAAAGACUUGUUGCUGCAACAAAUAACUUCAAUCAAUCUAAUAAGCUAGGAGAAGGAGGUUAUGGACCAGUGUAUAAGGGAACAUUGGAAGAUGGACUCGAAAUAGCAGUGAAAAGGCUUUCAAGAUCAUCCGGGCAAGGAUAUGAAGAAUUUAAGAAUGAGGUUAUGGUAAUCUUGUUAGACUUUUUGGAUGUUGUAUAGAAGAAGAGAAGAUUUUGAUUUAUGAGUACAUGCCAAACAAAAGUCUAGAUGCAUAUAUGUUUGAUCAAUCAAACCAGAUAUUGAAGAAAAACGUUUU